rnacentral:tRNA from 3 species
AAAGAUUUAGUUUAAUUAAAACAUAAAGUUGUCAACUUUAAAAUACUAAUAAGUAAUCUUUU